GUUCUUAGCCUAAUUGCAAGGCGGGGAAAGUCUGCGGAGCCCUCCAUGGGUGAAGAGGGUAUAAGUUUUUUAGCGUCAGGUUUUUUCUUUUUCGUCAAGAUUUUUUUUUUUUUGCGCUCUGGUUUUUUAUUUUAAGUUCGACAGGUAUGAUGGCUUUUUAUUUGGCCUUUUUUGGGGGUGAAAAGUGAAGAAUUUAGAAAAAAAGAAGUCGUCAAAUGGUAAGUUUAAUUUUUAUUUACAGGUUAGUUAUUUUAUUCCCCCCUCACUAUUUAGGUAGGGGUUUGUUUUAUUUGGGUGAGGGGGGUGACUAGGGGCUUGGGACCCCUAGUCACCUUGAGUGGGGGGUUAUUUAGGGCC